rnacentral:lncRNA from 1 species
UGGAUUUUCAGAAGAGGCCAUCUGCGAAAGUUUAGAACAACAAAUCAAUAAACGUUUUAACUGAAACUUCAUACAAGUUUCAAAGUUCAACUUCAACAGAUCAAUCUCUAAAGCUUCAGCAGUUCAGCUAAGUAACUAUAACACUAAUGUAUCACAGAACAGAACACAAUGAAGCAAUCACCAAACAAAACCAACAUCAACUUACUUGAGUUCUUAAGUUCAUUUAGAAGUGUCUAUCAUCUGCUAUAUAUGUUUGUGCAAUAAUAUCAGCGGUUGACAUUCAUACAAGUUAACAAAACCUCACAUGAUCACAUUCAGUCGACAAGUUAGCAAAACAUCAAGCCAAAAAAACACCACAUCAUUCGCAGAAAUAUAACAUUCGGUCGACAGAUAUAAGAUCACUGAUUCAGUGAAAUUCAUCCAAGUUAACAAAACCUCACAAUCUCACAUUCAUUCGACAAGUUUAGCAAAGCAUCAAUGAUCAAUCAAAGAAAAAAAACACCACAUCAGUCGCCAAAAAAAACCUCACAAAUCACAAUCUAACAUUAACAGAAAUGUGAAAAAACACCAACCACACACAGAAAAAGACGACUGAAACGUGAAUCAAUUGAAGGAGAUUUACCUCAGAGUUAUUUCUCGACGAUGCAGUUGAUGGAGAUGGAGAUUGCGAAGAGAAGGCAGCUAGGGAUUCCAGUUUUGUAGUUGGGGCUUGGAAAUUGAGGUUGCUUUUAUAAUUCGAUCGAUCGAGACGAUAUUGGGAAGUAGAUUGUGUUGCGAGAUCGUCGGUGAGGUGGGAAGAUUCAGCAAUAUUCUCGGAUGGAUUGAAUU